UUCUGCCUCUCCCAGACGCGUCGCCACUCUUCACCCACCAUUCCAGUGCCGAUCCAUCCGAGGGAGAGCAUCCUCGCUGCUCUUCUCCACUGGUUCUCCAUCGCCGGCCGCGAAGAAGACGAUGGCCGCAAUCGUUGAUGAGCCGCGGUCGUUUCCUCUUCUCUUGCGUUCCAUACUCUCCUCACCAUGCCGAAUAUUUCUCCUUUUGAUUUCAUCCUCUCUGGUGCAGCCAAUCGACGGAAACGCUGCAGUGCACACCGGAGCUCUGGAGCGCGCUCUGUGCACCGCCGCAGUGACAUCAUCGCCGUUCCCGCUUAUCUGCACCAAGCCGGGCCAAGCUGUCGCGCCAGCGUCUUCGCCUCGACCUCCUCUCCAUUUCCCCUCAAGAAUCUCGAAGGAUGGUGCUACGAGUGUGGAGAUCGUCCACCGUCUUCUCCACCUCAGGUCACCGUCGCCGUUGCCGAAUCCACCCCCUCCGUUCUUGGAGCUGAUUGAGCCAUCGCCGUUCACCCGGAGGUUCUUGCCGCCGCCGAGCCGUUACACGAGCCGCCGUCAUCAACCUAGCUACCCCAGCCAUGUCUAGCAUCUCGAUGAUUGCUUAAUCGGUGAAGAAGUGAUUUAGGUGCUGACAUUUUCCUGAUUCAAGGCAAGUCCCACCUCCCUCUCUUUGAUCACUUUGAACCUAUGUUUUGGAGGUUAUUGAAAAUGUUUGCAAAUCUUGCAUGUCGAUUCUACACUAAUACAUUAAAAUCUUGUUAAACUUGUUAGACAAACUCCUAUUAUUUGCAUUAUCACCUUAACCCCACAUAUAUCCAUCUCCCUCAUUCCUAACCUUAGGAAUCAUAUCCUAGUACUACUUGGAAUAUGAGUUACAUUGUCACUAGUUCACUAUAUUGCUUAGCCAUGCUUAGAAUAGUUUUACUUAUCACUUGGGCUCAUAUUAACAUGAAAAAUGAUUUUAUUAAGUUUGGGACAGAUAUGAAUAAAUGAAGUAUUUGAUAAAUAAAAUGGUGGAAAACAUGGAUUUUAGGGUUGGGCCUCAAGUGGUGCACAUAUGAUGAUUAGUUGUGUACCGAUAGGGGGAGAGUGCGCCCAAACCGACCUAAGGACUUCACUCAAUGUCAGUUCAUUUCGUAUACAGUACAACCACAUGUGCUAGUAUGGGAUAGCCCAAGCUUAGUAAAUUAUUUAUGGUUUAGCCUUACAUUCUGGUAGGCCGGUGUGUAUGAGUUCGGAUAACUCAGAGGAACUUUCUAUUUACCCCGACGUGGUAGUUUAGGUGACUAAGUCUGUCCAAUACAACGGCAUUGUGCCACGUGGGUGGGUUCCCGUUGUGUCCGCCACCACGG